UACAGAGGGUGCUAGCGUUAAUCGGAUUUACUGGGCGUAAAGCGUGCGUAGGCGGUUUGUUAAGUCGGUUGUGAAAGCCCCGGGCUCAACCUGGGAAUUGCAGUCGAUACUGGCAGACUAGAGAACGGUAGAGGGAGGCGGAACUCCGGGUGUAGCGGUGAAAUGCGUAGAUAUCCGGAAGAACACCGAUGGCGAAGGCAACCUCCUGGGCCUGUUCUGACGCUGAGGCACGAAAGCGUGGGUAG
rnacentral:rRNA from 1 species